GUGUCAGCAGCCGCGGUAAUACGGGAGUGGCAAGCGUUAUCCGGAAUUAUUGGGCGUAAAGCGUCCGCAGGCGGUUUUACAAGUCUGUCGUUAAAGCGUGGAGCUCAACUCCAUUUCAGCGAUGGAAACUGUAAGACUCGAGUGUGGUAGGGGCAGAGGGAAUUCCCGGUGUAGCGGUGAAAUGCGUAGAUAUCGGGAAGAACACCAGUGGCGAAAGCGCUCUGCUGGGCCAUAACUGACGCUCAUGGACGAAAGCCAGGGGAGCGAAAGGGAUUAGAUACCCCUGUAGUCCUGGCCGUAAACGAUGAACACUAGGUGUCGGGGGAAUCGACCCCCUCGGUGUCGUAGCCAACGCGUUAAGUGUUCCGCCUGGGGAGUACGCACGCAAGUGUGAAACUUAAAUGAAUUGACGGGG
rnacentral:rRNA from 1 species